rfam:Oryza glaberrima chromosome 4 Oglab04_0216_10, whole genome shotgun sequence.
UUUAAGUGUACCCAUAAAUUCUCAUGUUCUACUUUAAUCCUUCGUUUUAUUUAACUUUUUUUUAUGAUUAGUAUUUUUAUUGUUAUUAGAUGAUAAAAUAUUAGCAAUAAUUUAUGCAUGACUUAUGUUUUUUUAUUUUUUUUAAAAAAAUUAAAUAAAACGAACGGUUAAAGUUGGACACGAAAACAACUCAUGACUGUAUUUAAA